rnacentral:rRNA from 1 species
CCUACGGGGGGCUGCAGUGGGGAAUAUUGCACAAUGGGCGCAAGCCUGAUGCAGCCAUGCCGCGUGUGUGAAGAAGGCCUUCGGGUUGUAAAGCACUUUCAGCGGGGAGGAAGGCGGUGAGGUUAAUAACCUCAUCGAUUGACGUUACCCGCAGAAGAAGCACCGGCUAACUCCGUGCCAGCAGCCGCGGUAAUACGGAGGGUGCAAGCGUUAAUCGGAAUUACUGGGCGUAAAGCGCACGCAGGCGGUCUGUCAAGUCGGAUGUGAAAUCCCCGGGCUCAACCUGGGAACUGCAUUCGAAACUGGCAGGCUAGAGUCUUGUAGAGGGGGGUAGGAUUCCAGGUGUAACGGUGAAAUGCGUAGAGAUCUGGAGGAAUACCGGUGGCGAAGGCGACCCCCUGGACAAAGACUGACGCUCAGGUGCGAAAGCGUGGGGAGCAAACAGGAUUAGAUACCCGGGUAGUC